AUACGGAGGGGGCUAGCGUUGUUCGGAAUUACUGGGCGUAAAGCGCGUGUAGGCGGAUCGUUAAGUCAGGGGUGAAAGCCCGGGGCUCAACCCCGGAACUGCCCUUGAUACUGGCGAUCUAGAGUCCGGAAGAGGUGGGCGGAAUUCCCGGUGUAGAGGUGAAAUUCGUAGAUAUCGGGAGGAACACCAGUGGCGAAGGCGGCUCACUGGUCCGGCACUGACGCUGAGACGCGAAAGCGUGGGGAGCAAACAGGAUUAGAAACCCCAGUAGUCC
rnacentral:rRNA from 1 species